rnacentral:rRNA from 1 species
UNCAUGGNAGCAAGUCUGAUGGAGCAACGCCGCGUGAGUGAAGAAGGUUUUCGGAUCGUAAAGCUCUGUUGUUGGUGAAGAAGGAUAGAGGUAGUAACUGGCCUUUAUUUGACGGUAAUCAACCAGAAAGUCACGGCUAACUACGUGCCAGCAGCCGCGGUAAUACA